GCCAGAGUGGCUCAAAGGCAGAGCAAUCCCUUCGUAAGGGAUAGGUUGUGGGUUCAAUUCCCACCUCUGGCU
rnacentral:tRNA from 1 species